ACAGGUUAAAACGUGUUAUUGUCAAUUGGACCAAUACAAAGAAGAUUCGCAUGUCUCCUGCGCAGGGAUGACAUGCGCAAUUUGAGAAAUUGUACAAUUUUUU